UACGUAGGGUGCGAGCGUUGUCCGGAAUUAUUGGGCGUAAAGAGCUUGUAGGCGGUUUGUCGCGUCUGCUGUGAAAAUCCGGGGCUCAACCCCGGACUUGCAGUGGGUACGGGCAGACUAGAGUGUGGUAGGGGAGACUGGAAUUCCUGGUGUAGCGGUGGAAUGCGCAGAUAUCAGGAGGAACACCCAUGGCGAAGGCAGCUCUCUGGCUUCACCCUGACGCUGAGGCGCGAAAGCGUUGGGAGCGAACGGG
rnacentral:rRNA from 1 species